AUAUUUUUACAUGAGAAAUUUUUGUGUAUGUAAUUGAAUAUUUGCAUAUCUUCCUUUUUAAAGUUGCUGCCUUUGUUGUCUUUAGAAAGGACUUCCCCAUCCCAAGGUUACACAUAACUUUCCUACAUUUUCUUACAGUAUUUUUUUGUUUCUUUAUUAUACUUUUAAAUUGUAAUCCAUCUGAAUCUAUUUUGUCAUAUAGCAAUGUGAGGAUUUAAGUUUCUCUCUUUUCCAAAUAGUUUUCCACUUGUCCUGACAAUGGUCUACUGAAUAAUCUAUCCUUUUGUGUUCAAGUUGAACCCUGAAAAAUCAUACUCCAAAAUUCUUCUAUGUAUAUUUUCUUUUUCAAUGAUUUUUUAACCUACCUUUUUUGAUUAGCAUAUUAUUUUAACUAUUGUAAUGCAUUUAAAUAUCUGAUAGCUUGAAUCAUUCAUCUUUUCCAAAAAUUUCUUGGCAAUUGCUUUCAUCAUCUCCUGACCAGAUGGUUGUCAUGGUAUCUUAUUGCUCAUUCUACCGUUGGUCUCCCUUGCUUCUAAUCUGUUCACAACACAGCAGACUAGUGUUCUAAAACACAAAUUGGAUAAUUUACUCUCUUGAUUGUAAUAUAUACUUCCAGGUAUUUAAAAAGACUGAAAAUGGGUACAUUGCCUAUAUCAGGGUUUUGAACUUUAAGUCCAAGCUAUUUCUGGGCUUCAAAGUAUUUGUGGACACCAUACACAUUAUUUUGGUGGAUGUACUUUCUCCCCUCUUUUUCUUGAGAAUAGGAUUCAUAGUUAUACUAGAUUUUAAAGAUUCAUGACCCCAAAGUAUUAAUGACCAUUGGGCUACAAGAAGGAGGUCAGAUUCUUUAGAAUGGUUCAUAAGGAGCACGCUCCCCAUGGGUGAACUUUGCUUACCUCCCUUAGCACCCUCCUACAUCCUUCCUGCUUUUCACCCAUCCUGAACUCCUUGCACUUUACUGAACAGUCUGUUGGUUCAUGCCUCAGUGCCUUUGUACAUGUUAUUCCUUCUGCGGAAGAACUCUCCCUACACACCCCACCCAUCUGGAAAACUGUUGCUUGUACUUCAAGAAAUGAUCAAAAGGCAUAUGGAGGUCCCAGGCUAGGAGUCAAACCAGAGUUGUAGCCACUGGCCUACGCCAGAGCCACAGCCAGGCAUAUCUGAGCUGCAUCUGCACUGUACACCACAGGUCAUGGCAACGCCAGAUCCUUACCCCACUGAGCAAGGGAAGGGAUAAAACCUGCAACCUCAUGGUUCCUAGUUGGAUUUGUUAACCACUGAGCCAUGACAGGAACUCCGUCUCUUUCUCUUUUUAAAUUGUUGUACUUAGUCUGUAUUUUAUUAUUAUUCUUACAUUACCAGUAGAUUCUUGAGCACAAGUCAGAGAAAUUUUGUGGGAGAGUGGGAGGGUCAAUGAAAGGAAGUAGAAUAAUUAGUGGGGUCUUGCAGUCUUGCAUGAAGGCAGUGGAGAUUGGGGAAGGGAGUGGAGAUUUAUUUUGAAAAUAGAGUGGACAAGAUUUGUUGAUGAGCUAUUGCUGUAGGGGGGAAAAUGAGCAAUCUGGUAUGAUCCCUAGGUUUCUGACUCAAAUAUCUGGGUGGAUAGUGUGGCCAUCAUUUUGCUCAUUAAGCUGUAGACUCAAUAAGUUUUUAUCCAGUAGAUAAUUCCCCAAAGUUCUUAGAUACCACUUUUCCUGACGUAAUGCAAAAGUUUGAUGCCAUGUGGGGUAGGAUGAAUAGUUCCUGUACUGCCUCCUGAGACUAAGAUUCUGGGGAUGCUUUCCAUGCCAUAGGCACUGAGACCCAGGGGGAAGUCUUCACGGAUUAGAUGUAUCUUGAAAUAGAUCUGGAAUGAAUACCAAAUUUAAAAUAUAGAUGGGAGUUCCCAUUGUGGCUCAGCAGUAACGAAACCAACUAGUAUCCAUGAGGGUGCAGGUUCGAUCCCUGGCCUUGCACAGUGGGUUAAGGAUCCCGCAUUACUGUGAGCUAUGGUAUAGGUCACAGACAUGAAUUGGAGUCCAUGUUGCUAUGGCUGUGGUGUAGGCCGGCAGCUGCAGCUCUGAUUCAGCUCCUAGCCUGGGAACUCCCAUAUGCUGCAAGUGUGGCCCUAAAAAGAAAAAAAAAAUUGGAGAUGAAGUAAAGCUCAUGUCUGUCAUCCUCAAUUCAUUUAAUUUUCUGAGAUGUUUGUAAUUCUACAUAAAAUGUAUUUUCACAGUUACAAAGGCUUUGUUUGCUAUUGGAGUUAAAACAAUGUUCACUAGUUAAGCUAUAGGGAAGUCUGAAACUUCAAGUUUGUGCUUGGCAGUUACCAUCUGAACUUCCGAGAGGUUAAAUAUAUUUCACUCUUACUCCUUUUAAAGGCUGCAUGGUGUUUUGUUGCUUACAUGUCAUAUUGUUUAUAUAGCCAGUUCCUUCCAUUUAGGUUGUUUUAAUGUUUUCCUGUAUCCAACAAAUUAUUUAUUUAUUUAAUUUUUUUCUUUUAAAUGAUUUUUAUUUUUUUUCCAUUAUAGCUGGUUUACAGUGUUCUGUCAAUUUUUUCCCCCUUUUUAAAUGUUAUUUCCCCAAUACAAUUUUUUUUUCUCCUGUACAGCAUGGUGACACAGUUACACAUACAUUCUGUCAAUUUUAAGAUCACUGCUUCUCCUAUCACCCCACCAACACUGAGUAUAAAUCUAAUAGGCAAAAAUACUACCUUAUUGUUACUUUGUUUCUUUCAUUGUGAGUACAGUUGAGUAUCUUCCUCAUGUCAACAUGUCUAUUUCCUUGAAUAGCUACUCUUGAACCUCUGAAAUUAUGAGAAAGUGGUGACUAUCAAAAGGAAAAUUGGCUCAUUUUUCCUGAUACCUCUCUUGGAACUGCCUAGAGGCCUCCAUUUCCAGUCUUGUGGAGACCAACUCAGGUCACUCAACCAGUGGUCCCAGUUCCUUCCUCAUGUGAAUUUAUUGAAUGCACACUCUAUGCCAGAUUCUGUCUUAGCUGCUUGGGAAGGUGUAGUCAGGGAACAAAACAGGCACAAAAUCCUGCUCUUAAGGAUUUUGUAUUCCAAAGGGGAAAAAAUAUUGUAAGUUAAUUAGCUAAAAAUUACAAAUAUCAGGUGGUGAUAUUGGCAUGAAGAAGAAUAAAUCAGAGGAAAGAUUUAGGUGGUAUGGAUGAGGGGAGGUGCUAUUUUACAUAGAUUGUCAGGAAAGACCUUUCUGAGCACGUCUGUGGCUUCUUCCACAUCUGUGUGUCUAGUUAUACUCCCCUCCUUUCCUUCAUUCUUACUAUUUCUUUCAAGUGUGAAUUCUCUGAUACCAAAUACGGAUAGAGCUUUGUUUAACGACCUUUCUAUAGUGAUUAUGUUAAAAUGAUUUCAGUGUGAAUUCUCUGAUAUGUUGGAGCAAAUGAAUGAUAACUAAAGGCCUCUUAAAACUUGUUAAGAUUUGUAGGGUGAUAAGGAGCACCAACCUCUGAUACAGAAAAAGUGUGGAAUAUUCCAACAGCUAGUGAGGGCCAUUUCACUCCAUUCAUGGAUCUCUCACAAAUGCCUGAGUUGGUCACAAAAUAAACAGCUUCUCAAUGGGGCUAGUUUAUGGCUUUUGUCCUCAUGACAAAGGCAGUCUUCAUGUGGAAAAAUCGACCUAGUAAGGGAAAGUGGAAGUCAAACUUCAUCAUAGCUUCCAUGCCUCCUAAAUAUAAAAUGUCUACCAUAGGAUUGGUUUGGAAACAAAUGUAUUUAUUUAUUUAGUCUUCUUAGGGCCGCACCUAUGGCACAUGGAGGCUCCCAGGCUAGGGGUCCAACUGGAGCUACUGCUGCAGGCCUACACCAGAGCCACAGCAACUCGAGAUCCAAGCCAUGUCUUUGACCUACACCACAGCUCACAGCAACACUGGGUCCUUAAUCCACUGAGCAAGGCCAGGGAUCAAACACACAACCUCAUGGUUCCUAGUUGGAUUUGUUAACCACUGAGCCACAACGGGAACUCCUGGAAACAAAUGCUUUUAAAAUUUUUAUCUGGAUGCUUAUGAGCUGGAAAGAAAUGGAGGCAGUGGUAACUGAAUUUCUAUAAUGGGUGUUAAAGAUAUGAAGAGUAUUUCUAAUUUACAUAUUCCCUCUGAAUUUAUGCAAAAAGGUAUUAAUAUAAGUGUAAAUUAACAUAAAGACCCAAGUGUAUUAAGAAUAUUCAAGAUCUAUACACAAAUGGUAGUGGAAAAGACUACUAGCCAGUUCUUGGCAAAAAUAAAAAUUUGGGGCACAGAGUUGGGAGAGUCUACUCACCAUCAGUUUUCACUGAAAUCACAAGCUGGAUGCUUAGAUUUCCUUGCAGUCAGGACUCCAUGUAAAAUAUUAUAUGUAAUAAUAUCCUUUAUUAAAUUCCUUAUAUAAGGCAUUGUGCUAAGCACUUUAUAUACUAUCUAAUUCAUUCUUGCAUUAAGACUGAAAGGCUUUGGCGUUCCCAUCGUGGCUCAGUGGAAACAAACCUGAUUAAUAUCCAUGAGGAUUCAGGUUCCAUCCCUGACCCCACUCAUUGGAUUAAGGAUCUUGCAUUGCCGUGAGCUGUGGUGUAGGUUACAGACAAGACUUAGAUCCUGCAUUGCUAUGGCUGUGGCUGGCAGCUGCAGCUCCAAUUUAACCCCUAGCCUGG
rnacentral:lncRNA from 1 species